GGGGAUGCUAAACGCCUAUCUUCUAGACAGGCUAGAUGGUCUUUGUUUCUGUCUCGCUUCAACUUCCUUAUAACUUACAGACCUGGUCCCAAAAAUGUAAAGGCAGAUGCCUUGUCUAGACAGUUUGAUUCUGAGUCUUUACAGGAACACGAGACAUCCCCUAUCAUGCCACCUGAAUGUAUCAUCGCUUCUACUGUUCUUUCACUGUCUUCUCCCUUGCUUGGUGCUAUAAUGGAGGCUCAGUCUCAGGCACCAUGCAAUAAACCAC